rnacentral:tRNA from 1 species
GAAGGCAUGGCUCAGUGGUAGAGCAUCUGCCUCCUAAGCAAGAGGCCUUAAGUUCAAACCCUAGUACCAUCA